UACAGAGGGUGCGAGCGUUAAUCGGAUUUACUGGGCGUAAAGGGCGCGUAGGCGGUGAGAUGUGUGUGAUGUGAAAGCCCCGGGCUUAACCUGGGAAGUGCAUCGCAAACUGUCUGACUGGAGUAUAUGAGAGGGUGGCGGAAUUUCCGGUGUAGCGGUGAAAUGCGUAGAGAUCGGAAGGAACGUCGAUGGCGAAGGCAGCCACCUGGCAUAAUACUGACGCUGAGGCGCGAAAGCGUGGGGAUCGAAC
rnacentral:rRNA from 1 species